rnacentral:tRNA from 1 species
CCUGGUGGCUCAGAUGGUAAAGAAUCUGCCUGUAAUGCAGGAGACCUGGGUUCAAUUCCUGCAUCAGGA